rnacentral:rRNA from 1 species
CACGUAGGGGGGCGAGCGUUUGUCCGGAUUUAUUGGGCGUAAAGAGCUCGUAGGCGGCUAAGUAAGUCGGGUGUGAAAACUCCAGGCUCAACCUGGAGACGCCACCCGAUACUGCUUUGGCUAGAGUCCGGUACGGGGAGCAUGGAAUUCCUGGUGUAGCGGUGAAAUGCGCAGAGUAUACAGGGAGGAACAGCCAGUGGCGAAGGCGGUGCUCUGGGCCGGAACUGACGCUGAGGAGCGAAAGCGUGGGGAGCAAACAGG